CCUACGGGUGGCAGCAGUAGGGAAUCUUCCACAAUGGGCGAAAGCCUGAUGGAGCAACGCAGCGUGGGUGAAGAAGGUCUUCGGAUCGUAAAACCCUGUUGUUAGAGAAGAAAGUGCGUGAGAGUAACUGUUCACGUUUCGACGGUAUCUAACAAGAAAGCCACGGCUAACUACGUGCCAGCAGCCGCGGUAAUACGUAGGUGGCAAGCGUUAUCCGGAUUGAUUGGGCGUAAAGGGAACGCAGGCGGUCUUUUAAGUCUGAUGUGAAAGCCUUCGGCUUAACCGGAGUAGUGCAUUGGAAACUGGGAGACUUGAGUGCAGAAGAGGAGAGUGGAACUCCAUGUGUAGCGGUGAAAUGCGUAGAUAUAUGGAAGAACACCAGUGGCGAAAGCGGCUCUCUGGUCUGUAACUGACGCUGAGGUUCGAAAGCGUGGGUAGCAAACAGGAUUAGAUACCCCAGUAGUC
rnacentral:rRNA from 1 species